GAUGAACGCUGGCGGCGUGCCUAAUACAUGCAAGUCGAACGAAACUUCUUUAUCACCGAGUGCUUGCACCCACCGAUAAAGAGUUGAGUGGCGAACGGGUGAGUAACACGUGGGCAACCUGCCCAAAAGAGGGGGAUAACACUUGGAAACAGGUGCUAAUACCGCAUAACCAUAGUUACCGCAUGGUAACUAUGUAAAAGGUGGCUAUACUACCGCCUUUGGAUGGGCCCGCGGCGCAUUAGCUAGUUGGUAGGGUAAAGGCUUACCAAGGCAAUGAUGCGUAGCCGAAUUGAGAGGUUGAUCGGCCACAUUGGGACUGAGACACGGCCCAAACUCCUACGGGAGGCAGCAGUAGGGAAUCUUCCACAAUGGGCGAAAGCCUGAUGGAGCAACGCCGCGUGGGUGAAGAAGGUCUUCGGAUCGUAAAACCCUGUUGUUAGAGAAGAAAGUGCGUGAGAGUAACUGUUCACGUUUCGACGGUAUCUAACCAGAAAGCCACGGCUAACUACGUG
rnacentral:rRNA from 1 species